rnacentral:rRNA from 1 species
AUUGCCUCAGUAACGGCGAGUGAAGCGGCAAGAGCUCAAAUUUGAAAUCUGGCCCCUCCGGGGUCCGAGUUGUAAUUUGUAGAGGAUGCUUCGGGUGCGGCCCCCGUCUAAGUGCCCUGGAACGGGCCAUCGGAGAGGGUGAGAAUCCCGUCUGGGACGGGGUGUCCGCGUCCAUGUGAAGCUCCUUCGACGAGUCGAGUUGUUUGGGAAUGCAGCUCUAAAUGGGUGGUAAAUUUCAUCUAAAGCUAAAUACUGGCCGGAGACCGAUAGCGCACAAGUAGAGUGAUCGAAAGAUGAAAAGCACUUUGAAAAGAGAGUUAAACAGCACGUGAAAUUGUUGAAAGGGAAGCGCUUGCGACCAGACUCGCUUCCGGGGUUCAGCCGGCUUUCGGGCCGGUGUACUUCCCCGGGGGCGGGCCAGCGUCGGUUUGGGCGGCCGGUCAAAGGCCCCUGGAAUGUAACGCCUCUCGGGGCGCCUUAG